GUCUAUGGCCAUGCCACACUAAAUGUUCCGGAUCUUGUCUGAUCUCGGAAGCUAAGCAGGAUCAGGCUUAUUUACUUGGAUGGGAGACUGCCUGGGAAUUCUGGGUGCUAUAGGCU
ensembl:rRNA 5S_rRNA 5S ribosomal RNA